UACGUAGGGUGCGAGCGUUGUCCGGAUUUAUUGGGCGUAAAGAGCUUGUAGGCGGCUCGUCACGUCGGGUGUGAAAACUCGCGGCUCAACCGCGAGCCUGCACCCGAUACGGGCGAGCUAGAGUUCGGCAGGGGAGACUGGAAUUCCUGGUGUAGCGGUGGAAUGCGCAGAUAUCAGGAGGAACACCGGUGGCGAAGGCGGGUCUCUGGGCCGAUACUGACGCUGAGAAGCGAAAGCGUGGGGAGCGAACAGG
rnacentral:rRNA from 1 species